ensembl:snoRNA snoRNA:Psi18S-1389b snoRNA:Psi18S-1389b
GCGGCAUCGCUUGCAACUCAUUGAAUUCGUUUUUCUAAUCGAAUAAAAUGAAGUGAGUGUUGCCAAGAGCAAUACACCUUUUCGUAUGAGGCUUUCAGACAUAGUUGAGGCGACAUAAUCCACGCCACGAUUGUAUCACUCAAAGUCUUACAAUU